rnacentral:rRNA from 1 species
CAGUAGCCGCGGUAAUACAGAGGGUGCAAGCGUUAAUCGGAAUUACUGGGCGUAAAGCGCGCGUAGGUGGUUUGUUAAGUUGGAUGUGAAAGCCCCGGACUCAACCUGGGAACUGCAUCCAAAACUGGCAAGCUAGAGUACGGUAGAGGGUGGUGGAAUUUCCUGUGUAGCGGUGAAAUGCGUAGAUAUAGGAAGGAACACCAGUGGCGAAGGCGACCACCUGGACUGAUACUGACACUGAGGUGCGAAAGCGUGGGGAGCAAACAGGAUUAGAUACCCCGUAGUCCCUGUCUCUUAUACA